UACGAAGGGGGCUAGCGUUGCUCGGAAUCACUGGGCGUAAAGCGCACGUAGGCGGACUCUUAAGUCGGUGGUGAAAUCCUGGAGCUCAACUCCAGAACUGCCUUCGAUACUGAGAGUCUCGAGUCCGAGAGAGGUGAGUGGAACUGCGAGUGUAGAGGUGAAAUUCGUAGAUAUUGGCUGGAACACCGGUGGCGAAAGCGGCUCUCUGGCCCGGUUCUGACGCGUGAGGCGCGAAAGCGUGGGGAGCAACAGG
rnacentral:rRNA from 1 species